UACGUAGGGUGCAAGCGUUGUCCGGAAUUAUUGGGCGUAAAGAGCUCGUAGGCGGCUUGUCACGUCGACUGUGAAAACCCGGGGCUCAACUCCGGGCCUGCAGUCGAUACGGGCUGGCUUGAGUGCGGUAGGGGAGACUGGAAUUCCUGGUGUAGCGGUGAAAUGCGCAGAUAUCAGGAGGAACACCGGUGGCGAAGGCGGUUCUCUGGGCCUUACCUGACGCUGAGGAGCGAAAGCGUGGGGAGCGAACAGG
rnacentral:rRNA from 1 species